AUGCUCUGCGUCGGGAGCUCCAUCUCGCCCCGGGACUGCCGCGAGCUGGUCCGCUCUUGCGCCGCCCUCGUCGAGAAAUUGGGGGGCCGGGAUGUUGCGGGGCAUUCCUAUGAUCUGUUGCAUGCUGCUGUGAAAACAGCCUUGUUAUCCCCUCGUUACCAGUGUCUCUUUCCUUCGCCAUAUUACAGAGAAGAUGGAGAAAGCAGUUGCGAGAUGGGUACCAUUUCUCUGGAUGUAACAACCCAUCCAUCUUAUCAAGUGCUUCCCGAUGAUGGCUCAAUCCCGCCAAGGGUCCAUUUGUGGCAUUACGACCCAUCAAUUCUGAAACAUGAUCUUUCAGAGAUGCUACGAGAAGCAAUUACAAGGCCUUUGCUUUGUCUGAGAAAAGAAUUACAUGAUCGGGUAGCAUGGCGUGUGAUUGUAAUAUGCUUAGUUUGCUCCCCAUCAGCGUUCUUGGAGAUGUGGUCAUUAUUCCAUAUAUGGUUUCUUGCGACGUUGACAAUUACGAACUUCCCUACCUGGUUCAAUUUUGCCACUGCUCUACUAUUUCACCAGGAAGGUUCACAAGGUUAUUUAUCAGAAGUAUUAUCUGAGGAGAAAACUGCUGAAUCAAUAAGCGAUAUCAGUCUUGCUCAGAGGGCAGCAUUUUACCUUUUGUGGGUGUUAUGCCCUUCUAAUGUUGAUGAAUGCCAGUUGCUAGCUAAAAAUAUGCUUGGGCCAGGAACAACAAAAGACGCCCAAGUUAUGCAUAUCAUACCAGUACAGUAA
rnacentral:rRNA from 1 species